rnacentral:lncRNA from 1 species
CAUUUUCACGAUGUUGAUUCUUCCAAACCGUGUACAUGGAAUGUUUCUCCAUCUGUUUGUGUUCUCUCUUAUUUCAUUGAGCCGUGGUUUGUAGUUCUUUUUGAAGAGGUCCUUUACGUUCCCUGUCAGCUUUAUUCUUAGGUAUUUUAUUUUCUUUGUAGCAAUAGUAAAUGGCAGUUUGUUCUUUUUUUUUUUUUGAGAUGGAGUUUCGCUCUUGUUACCCUGGCUGGAGGGCAAUGGCUCGAUCUUGGCUCACUGCAACCUCCACCACCAGGGUCGAGGCAAUUCUCCUGCCUCAGCCUCCCUAGUAGCUGGGAUUAAAGGCACGUGUCACUGUGCCCAGCUAACUUUUUUUUGUAUUUUUUAUAGAGACGAGGUUUCACCAUGUUGACCAGGAUGGUCUAUGAUCUCUUGACCUCAUGAUCUACCUGCUUCGGCCUCCCAACAUGCUGGGAUUACAGGCGUGAGCCACCGUGCCCGGCCGGCAGUUUGUUCUUCAUUUGGCUCUCUUCAAGUCUGUUAUUGGUGUAUAGGAAUGCUUGUGAUCUUUUCACAUGUAUUUUGUAUCCUGAGACUUUGCUAAAGUUGCUUAUUAGUUUCAGGAGUUUUUGGGCUGAGGCGAUGAGGUCUUCUAGGUAUACUAUCAUGUCAUCUGCGAAUGGAGACAAUUUGGCCUCCACCUUUCCUAUUUGAAUACCCUUUAUUUCUUUUUCUUGCCUGACUGCUCUAGCUAGAACUUCCAUUACUAUAUUGAAUAGGAGUGGUGAGAGAGGGCAUCCUUGUCUAGUGCCGGAUUUCAAAGGGAAUGUUUCCAGUUUUUGCUCAUUCAGUAUGAUAUUGGCUGUUGGUUUGUCAUAAAUAGCUUUUAUUAUUUUGAGAUAGGUUUCAUCAAUACCAAGUUUAUUAAGGAUUUUUAACAUAAAGGCCUCUUGAAUUCUGUCAAAGUCUUCUCUGCAUCAAUUGGGAUAAUCAUGUGGUGUUUGUUUUGGGUUCUGUUUAUUUUUCCAGAUUGGAUUCAUCUCUUCAUCAUUUUCAGGUACACCUAUCAAAGGUUGAUUAGGACUCUUCACAUAGUCCCACAUUUCUUGGAAACUUUGUUCAUUUUUUGUGUGUGUGUGCUUUUUUCUCUAAUCUUGCCUUCUCAUUUUAUUUCAUUGAGUUGAUCUUUAAC